GGGAAUAUUGGACAAUGGGGGAAACCCUGAUCCAGCCAUGCCGCGUGUGUGAAGAAGGCCUUUUGGUUGUAAAGCUCUUUUAGCAGUGAAGAAGACUCCAUGGUUAAUACCCUUGGACCAUGACCUUAACUGCAGAAUAAGCACCGGCUAACUCUGUGCCAGCAGCCGCGGUAAUA
rnacentral:rRNA from 1 species